UGGCAGGUACAGAGGGGUGCUACCGGGUGACCGGAUCGCCGAUCUCGAAAACCUGUCCCAGUUCGGACUGGAGUCUGCAACCCGACUCCACGAAGUUGGAUUCGCUAGUAAUCGCGCAUCAGCCAUGGCGCGGUGAAUACGUUCCCGGGCCUUGUACACACCGCCCGUCAAGCCAUGGGAGCCGGGGGCGCCUGAAGUCCGGGACCGCGAGGACCGGCCUAGGGCGAAACUGGUGACUGGGGCUAAGUCGUAACAAGGUACC
rnacentral:rRNA from 1 species